CGAAGGAAAAUGAAUGAAUGCACUUGAACUUGUAAUGAAUGUUUUCAGUUGUAUUUACAGUUUCACCCAGCAGGCGUCACUAAAGUAAAGCUUUUGUUAAACAAAUUGCUCAAAUGACAAUGUUUUAUAAUACUUUGUCUCUCUAUAGUCUCACCUUUGACUUCCAAUAUAAACUAAAUAUUUAUACUCAUUAAAACAUACAGACAGACAGAUAAAAUAGCCAACAAAACAUAGGAUUUAGUAAGCCUGUAAAGCCAACACUAAUGACCAACACUAAUGGUGACUGCAAACAAACAGUGACAUCCUUUAUUCAGUUCUUGUAUUUUAUCUUAGAGUCUUUGUCAGAAAUCUUGGAUUGUAACCUUACUGUAAAAUACAAACUAUAUACACAAUCCAAACUCCCACAUCAUGAUAGUUUAACAUUGUAAUAGUGUUUAGUUUUGCAAGUUCUGCUAUGCUGUUUAACUCUAUUUUAAAUCAAAACACACGCUGAUAUACUGAAUACACUGUAAUGCACAUCUGUGAGUGAGGAUUCCCAGUAGAGUAAAAGAGAUUACACCAGUUUCACUCCAUCAGUGUUUGCAUGUGGAGUGUUUUACAUGAGCGGCACACGCUUCAGUGCUCUGCAUGUGUUUAUAACUCUGACACACAGAAAACACGAUCAACAACUGUUUUCACUACAACUGAACCUACAAGAACAACAAUGAGCUUCAGCAGCAUAUUGAUCUGGACACUGGCAGCAUUAUGUGGAGAAUGUAUUGGUCAGGUGACAGUGACUCAAACUCCCUCAGUGCUGCUUUCUGAACCUGGACAAUCCCUCACUGUCCACUGCAGAUUCAGCAGAGAUCCACCUUGCUGUUAUGGCAGUGGAACUUAUCUUGUUAGCUGGUACUUACAGAGACCUGGAGAAGCUCCUAAACUCCUGAUUUAUUACACAACUGUUCUCCAGUCAGGAACUGCAUCUAGAUUCAGUGGCAGUGGAUCUAAGACUGAUUUCACUCUGAGCAUCAGUGGAGUCCAGACUGAAGAUGCUGGACAUUAUUACUGUCAGAGUGAACACAGUGGUCCAGUGUUCACACAGUGAUAAAGAGUGAUACAAAAACCUCCGUCAGUCAGUCAGAGUCACAGAGACUGAACUGAUCCUGGAGCAGCUCACAGGAGGAUGUGAAACUACAGUCACUCAAGCAUCAGAAAUAAAAUCAUCCAGAUGAAUCUGUCGCUCUUCAUCAUCAUAGAGAGCAAAAGUCAAAGCAUUAGUGGACAGAAACAAACCAAAAGUCCAUCAUUGUUCACCAGAGUCUCCAUCAGAAUAUUAAUUUAAUAGUAAAAACCCCACUGAAGAUGACAGACUGUGUUUCUCUGUGAUCAUUAUUGAGCAUCAGUGAAUCUGUUCAGUCUGACGGUGAAUGGAUCGACUGUUUUCCUCAAGAGCUGCUGAUGAUCUGAUGAUCAAAUAAACACACGACGCCUCAAACACACUCCAGUCUCCAGUAAAGCAGAGUAAAACCUUCAGAAAGCUGCAGCUCAUGACACCUCCACUACUGCUGGAGUAAAACAGUCUCUGUGUGGAAACUCCAGCUGCUUCUGUGACAGAAUAAUGCUGAUUUACUGCGCUCAUUCCUCAUCAACACAGACAGAGUCUCAGCAUAUCACUGAUUUAUUCUUCAUCUAGGAGAC